rnacentral:rRNA from 1 species
GACGAACGCUGGCGGCGUGCCUAACACAUGCAAGUCGAGCGGGGUUGAAGCGAGGGGUAACUCAAGCUUCUACCUAGCGGCGGACGGGUGAGUAACGCGUGGGCAACCUGCCUCAAGGUCUGGGAUAACAGCUCGAAAGGGCUGCUAAUACCGGAUAUGCCUAUGGCCUCGCAUGGGGCUAUGAGCAAAGGGGAAACCUGCCUUGAGAUGGGCCCGCGUCCCAUCAGCUAGUUGGUGAGGUAACAGCUCACCAAGGCGACGACGGGUAGCCGGCCUGAGAGGGUGACCGGCCACACUGGGACUGAGACACGGCCCAGACUCCUACGGGGGGCAGCAGUGGGGGAUCUUGCACAAUGGGCGAAAGCCUGAUGCAGCGACGCCGCGUGAGCGAAGAAGGCCUUCGGGUUGUAAAGCUCUGUCUGGAGGGACGAACAAAAUGACGGUACCUCCGGAGGAAGCCACGGCUAACUACGUG